rnacentral:misc_RNA from 1 species
GACGUGGGAUGCGAGCGUUGUCCGGAAUUACUGGGCGUAAAGCGCACGCAGGCGGUCUGUCAAGUCGGAUGUGAAAUCCCCGGGCUCAACCUGGGAACUGCAUCCGAAACUGGCAGGCUAGAGUCUUGUAGAGGGGGGUAGAAUUCCAGGUGUAGCGGUGAAAUGCGUAGAGAUCUGGAGGAAUACCGGUGGCGAAGGCGGCCCCCUGGACAAAGACUGACGCUCAGGUGCGAAAGCGUGGGGAGCAAACAGG